rnacentral:rRNA from 1 species
GCAAGUCGAGCGCACCCUUCGGGGCGAGCGGCGGACGGGUUAGUAACGCGUGGGAACAUACCCUUUUCUACGGAAUAGCCUCGGGAAACUGAGAGUAAUACCGUAUACGCCCUUCGGGGGAAAGAUUUAUCGGAGAAGGAUUGGCCCGCGUUAGAUUAGAUAGUUGGUGGGGUAACGGCCUACCAAGUCUACGAUCCAUAGCUGGUCUUAGAGGAUGAUC